rnacentral:rRNA from 1 species
AGUGUAGCGGUGAAAUGCGUAGAUAUUAGGAGGAACACCAGUGGCGAAGGCGGCCUGCUGGGCUUUAACUGACGCUGAGGCUCGAAAGCGUGGGUAGCAAACAGGAUUAGAUACCCUGGUAGUCCACGCCGUAAACGAUGAUUACUAGGUGUGGGGGGACUGACCCCUUCCGUGCCGGAGUUAACACAAUAAGUAAUCCACCUGGGGAGUACGGCCGCAAGGCUGAAACUCAAAGGAAUUGACGGGGGCCCGCACAAGCAGUGGAGUAUGUGGUUUAAUUCGAAGCAACGCGAAGAACCUUACCAGGUCUUGACAUCGAGUGACGAACUUAGAGAUAAGUUCUUCCUUCGGGACACGAAGACAGGUGGUGCAUGGUUGUCGUCAGCUCGUGUCGUGAGAUGUUGGGUUAAGUCCCGCAACGAGCGCAACCCUUAUCGUUAGUUACUACGCAAGAGGACUCUAGCGAGACUGCCGUUGACAAAACGGAGGAAGGUGGGGAUGACGUCAAAUCAUCAUGCCCUUUAUGACCUGGGCUACACACGUACUACAAUGGCUAUUAACAGAGAGAAGCGAUACCGCGAGGUGGAGCAAACCUCACAAAAAUAGUCUCAGUUCGGAUCGCAGGCUGCAACCCGCCUGCGUGAAGCCGGAAUUGCUAGUAAUCGCGGAUCAGCAUGCCGCGGUGAAUACGUUCCCGGGCCUUGUACACACCGCCCGUCACACCAUGAGAGCCGGGGGGACCCGAAGUCGGUAGUCUAACCGCAAGGAGGACGCCGCCGAAGGUAAAACUGGUGAUUGGGGUGAAGUCGUAACAAGGUAGCCGUAUCGGAAGGUGCGGCUG